GUAGGGGGCAAGCGUUGUCCGGAUUUAUUGGGCGUAAAGAGCGUGUAGGCGGCCGCACAGGUCCGUUGUGAAAACUGGAGGCUUAACCUUCAGACGUCGAUGGAAACCGUGCGGCUAGAGUCCGGAAGAGGAGAAUGGAAUUCCUGGUGUAGCGGUGAAAUGCGCAGAUAUCAGGAAGAACACCCGUGGCUAAGGCGGUUCUCUAGUACGGUACUGACGCUGAGACGCGAAAGCGUGGGGAGCGAACAGGAUUAGAUACCCUGGUAGUCCACGCCGUAACGAUGGGUGCUAGGUGUGGGGGGUGUCGACUCCCCCCGUGCCGAAGCUAACGCAUUAAGCACCCCGCCUGGGGAGUACGGCCGCAAGGCUA
rnacentral:rRNA from 1 species